UGUCCCCUCUUGUACGUGUAUUUGUACAAUGCAACAAUGUAAAAUAUAAUAGCUGACAGCUCACUUUGGCUCAGACUGUGGUGGUCCACUGCUGAAAUUAGGACCGUCAGGCAUAGACCAGUCACUCUUCAUAGACACACAGCUGGGCACUGGAGACACUGGUCUGUGUGUCUGUGGCCUGGUUACAUAAGGAGACGAAAUAAUAGACUUAGCAAACAUUUCUUCCUAAUAGUUAGUAAGGUUAGCAUGUCUGCAUACUCCAUUACACAUAAUACUUCACUCUUUUUAACACACACAAACUCACACACACACGCGCGCACAAACAAUUCUCCACCCUUGUACAUAUCUGCAUUCGUAAAAUGUAAAAAUGUAUAGUAAGUAAGGUUAGCAUGUCUGCAUACUCUCUCUUUCUCUUUGUCUUUGUCUUUCUCUCUCUCACACACACACACACUCAUCUGCACACACACACACACACACACACACACACACACACACACACACACACACACACACACACACACACACACACACACACACACACCUGCACUUACAAACACACACACACACACACACACACACACACACACACACACACACACACACACACACACACACACACACACACACACACACACACCAAGUAAUAAUUUAGCAUCAGCCCUCACUUCUUCCUAAUAGUUAGUAAAGUAAGCCUAUCUGCAUACUCACUCCUUCUCUCUCUAUCUUUAAAACACAAACACUCACACACACACACACAUCCACACACACACACACACACAUCCACACACACACACACACACACACACACACAGACACACAUGUGUGCACAAACAAUUGUCCCCUCUUGUACGUGUAUUUGUACAAUGCAAAAAUGUAAAAUAUAAUAGCUGACAGCUCACUUUGGCUCAGACUGUGGUGGUCCACUGCUGAAAUUAGGACCGUCAGGCAUAGACCAGUCACUCUUCAUAGACACACAGCUGGGCACUGGAGACACUGGUCUGUGUGUCUGUGGCCUGGUUACAUAAGGAGACGAAAUAAUAGACUUAGCAAACAUUUCUUCCUAAUAGUUAGUAAGGUUAGCAUGUCUGCAUACUCCAUUACACAUAAUACUUCACUCUUUUUAACACACACAAACUCACACACACACGCGCGCACAAACAAUUCUCCACCCUUGUACAUAUCUGCAUUCGUAAAAUGUAAAAAUGUAUAGUAAGUAAGGUUAGCAUGUCUGCAUACUCUCUCUUUCUCUUUGUCUUUGUCUUUCUCUCUCUCACACACACACACACUCAUCUGCACUUACACACACAUCGUGGGUCAAAUAAUAGUUUAGAAUUAGCCCUCACUUCUUCCUAAUAGUUAAUGAAGUUGGCAUAUCUGCAUACUCACUCCUUCUCUCUCUAUCUUUAAAACACACACACACACUCACACACACACAAACACACAGGUUGGGUCAGGGUAAUUCUAAGCUGACUGGAGAGACACCAAUAAUUGCACAAAGACACACGUCAUUCACUGCAUCCUAACAUUAAAGAGCAGCUGAUAGGUCUGCACACACACAGUCACAUGAACACAUUCAGAAGCACCAAGC
ensembl:lncRNA